rnacentral:rRNA from 1 species
UACGUAGGGACCAAGCGUUGUUCGGAUUUACUGGGCGUAAAGGGCGCGUAGGCGGCGUGUUAAGUCAGCUGUGAAAUCUCCAAGCUUAACUUGGAACGGUCAGCUGAUACUGAUGUGCUAGAGUGCAGAAGGGGCAAUCGUAAUUCUUGGUGUAGCGGUGAAAUGCGUAGAUAUCAAGAGGAACACCUGCGGCGAAGGCGGGUUGCUGGGCUGACACUGACGCUGAGGCGCGAAAGCUAGGGGAGCGAACGGG